UUCCCUAGCGGUCUAGUGGUUAAGACUCUGCACUUCCAACGCAGGGUACAUGGGUUCGGUCCCUAGUAGGGAAA
rnacentral:tRNA from 1 species